AUGUUAGGCCGUGUGGUCGACGCCUUGGGAGUACCUAUUGAUGGAAAAGGGGCUCUAAGCGAUCACGAACGAAGACGUGUCGAAGUGAAAGCCCCAGGGAUUAUUGAACGUAAAUCUGUGCACGAACCCAUGCAAACAGGCUUAAAAGCAGUGGAUAGCCUGGUUCCUAUAGGCCGUGGUCAACGAGAACUUAUAAUCGGGGACAGACAA
rnacentral:rRNA from 1 species